rnacentral:tRNA from 1 species
GCCGGCGUGGUGAAAUGGCAGACACGGUAGACUCAAAAUCUACUGCCCGCAAGGGCAUGACGGUUCAAGUCCGUCCGCCGGCA